GAGUUGUUAAAGCAAUGACACCUAGACGUAUAAAUGCACGGAAAGACUUGAAAAUAGUGCAAGUAUUUGUUUAAAAAAAAUUAUUAAUUUUGUGUCUAUGUACAUUCUCCGCAGGAAGGAAUGUGCUUCUUUUAAGGACACAUGUCAUAGUCAGCGAAAAAGGGAACAACUUUAUUUAGUGGAAACACAUUGAAAUGCGUUGCAUGAACCUUUGAUGGGUGUUG